AGAACGAACGCUGGCGGCAUGCCUAACACAUGCAAGUCGAACGAGACCUUCGGGUCUAGUGGCGCACGGGUGCGUAACGCGUGGGAACCUGCCCUUAGGUUCGGAAUAACAGUUGGAAACGACUGCUAAUACCGGAUAAUGUCUUCGGACCAAAGAUUUAUCGCCUAUGGAUGGGCCCGCGUUGGAUUAGCUAGUUGGUGGGGUAAGGGCCUACCAAGGCGACGAUCCAUAGCUGGUCUGAGAGGAUGAUCAGCCACACUGGGACUGAGACACGGCCCAGACUCCUACGGGAGCAGCAGUGGGGAAUAUUGGACAAUGGGCGAAAGCCUGAUCCAGCAAUGCCGCGUGAGUGAUGAAGGCCUUAGGGUGUAAAGCUCUUUACUGGGGAUGGAUAAUGACAGUACCCAGAGAAUAAGCUCCGGCUAACUCCGCGCCAGCAGCCGC
rnacentral:rRNA from 1 species